rnacentral:rRNA from 1 species
UACAGAGGGUGCAAGCGUUGUUCGGAAUUACUGGGCGUAAAGCGUGCGCAGGCGGUAAGUUAAGUCUGAUGUGAAAGCCCCGGGCUCAACCUGGGAAUGGCAUUGGAAACUGGCUUGCUAGAGUGUGGCAGAGGGGGGUGGAAUUCCGCGUGUAGCAGUGAAAUGCGUAGAGAUGCGGAGGAACACCGAUGGCGAAGGCAGCCCCCUGGGCCGACACUGACGCUCAGGCACGAAAGCGUGGGGAGCAAACAGG